UACGUAGGGGGCGAGCGUUGUCCGGAUUCAUUGGGCGUAAAGAGCUCGUAGGCGGCUUGGCAAGUCGGGUGUGAAAACUCCAGGCUCAACCUGGAGACGCCACCCGAUACUGCUAUGGCUAGAGUCCGGUAGGGGGCUGCGGAAUUCCUGGUGUAGCGGUGAAAUGCGCAGAUAUCAGGAGGAACACCGGUGGCGAAGGCGGCAGCCUGGGCCGGUACUGACGCUGAGGAGCGAAAGCGUGGGGA
rnacentral:rRNA from 1 species